GCCCGACUGGCGCAAUCGGAUAGCGCAUUAGACUUCUACCGUAUUUCAUAAGGUUAUCUAAAGGCUGUGGGUUCGACCCCCACGUUGGGCU